rnacentral:snoRNA from 1 species
UUGUGAAUAUUCUCACUGUUUUGAUUUUAUAAUAUAACAACAAGCUAAACAUUCACUAUAUUAAAACCACGCAUGUGUCUCGGACCCACCUCUUUCCCUAGGUUUGUUUUUAUAAAUGCUGGUGAUAAAC